GUCAGUUUCCUCGGCGGCGGGAGGCGAGAGCACCGGGAGCAGAGCGAGCGCGGGGCCACCGGAGACGGCGGCGGCGGCGCGGACACAGCCAGGGCGCGGCGGAUCUUCCACUCGCACACGGAGCACUCGGUGGCCCACGCAGGAUCACGAUGCUGCCCAGCUUGGCACUGCUCCUGCUGGCCGCCUGGACGGUUCGGGCUCUGGAGGUGGGUGCCGCGCCUUGGGAACGAGACUGGGGAGGCGGGCGCCGGGAGGACGCGAUCCUCCCCACCGAGGAGCUUGAAUCUCGAGACGUGGGGGGCUGUCACGGGUAGACCGCUCCUCGCCGCCCCCGCCUGCGGGCGCCCUGCGCUUCGGCGGCUCUGGCCCAACCCUGCCCGGGGACGCGCUGCCCGAGCGAUGAAGAGGGAAUGGGUUAGGGCGCUGGGGUCCCCAUAUCCGUGCCAGCCUAGGGCUGGAAGGCGAGGGGACGAGCCUGAACGCAGACCCUGACUCCUCCCUGCGUUGAGAGCUGGACUCCGGGAUGCGAGAGACACCCAGUUCGAGGGGGAAGGGACACGUGUGGAAAACCGAAAGCGUAGCGUCUCAGGAUUCAGUGCCCUGCGAGGAAAUCGCCGCCCUUCCCCUUCCUUGGGGUCCUGGGUUGGAAUGGGGGCAGCUCUGGAUGCUGGGGAGCGCCUGGCUCACACUCCCUUCCCACCCCCGCCUGUCUUGACUGCGAAGCUGGGCUUUGCUCCUGGCGGCCGCGGGCGGCGGCUGCCUGCGCAGCGACCCUCUCCCGAGUCGGUGCGGGGUCGCGCACCGCCGCCUUCCUUUUGCAAACUUUGUGCAUUUUCGUGUCUCCCUUUUGUGUAAGUUCCAAGUGAUGGGAGGGAUCGGAAAGUGCGGCCACCCGGCACCGUCCCUCAACCUGGACGUCCAGGACUCUUCAGUGCACCUCCAGUUUCUCCCUGAGUCUGAGAAGGUCCCCGGGAACAAAAGCCGCGACACCCCGCCCUCGCCGUCCAGGGCGCGGUGGCGGAGCCCUGGUAGUUGGUGCGCCACCGCCGUUCCUUUCCCCGAGCUGCGCGUCUGCCCCCGAGGGCCUAGAGGUGCUGCUAGGGCCCCGCGGUCUCCCACCCCCGCAUCACCACCACCUACUGGCAAUCCUGUGAGGGACUGCAAAGUCCUGAGAGAGAGAGAGAGAGAGAGAGAGAGAGAGAGAGAGAGAGAGAGAGAGAGAGAGAGAGAGAGAGCGAGCCGGGAGUGAGGCGUGCGUCUGGGAAGGGCAGUGCCUGGUGGUGGGGAGGCUGAGGCUCCAGGGCAUCAAAGGAGGCGUUUGUCUGAUUAAGGUGCGGCCUCCUAUGGGGCAGAUUUGGGAACUCUAGCUUAGUCACCCUGGGGGGGACACAGGAUGCUGGGGAGGGUCCUCAGGGUUCCUUUUUUUUUUAAAAAAAAAAAAAAAGGGGUGCAGAUAAAAGGAUUGAAUAGGGUGAAGAUUAAGACGGAGAAGAUGGCGCCUCUGCAGUGCAGCAAAGAAAAGCUGUGUGGAGGCUGCAGCCUGUGAAAUCCACCCACCACUAGGUGUAUAACAAGUCUUCCCCAUUCAUCCAACUCUCCAGCAUGCAGCACAAGGCUUGUUUUCCUUUUUAUCCAGAGAUGCCUGGAAGUUGUUUGCGUGGCAGCUGGUUUUAUUUCUCUUCAUUUGUACCCUCUUCACCAUCUAAGCAUUUGCUAAUAGCCCUUCCUCGUCGUCCUCCUCUUUCCCCUCUACCUCAUAGGAAUUUUCCCAAAAAGCAAUUUCCGGGCGAGUGUUUUCCUGCAAUUUUGUGGGGAUUGGCUAGGCUAUCACACUAGUAUGAGUUUUUAUUUAUUUAAUUUUUUUUAGCUCUUAAUUUACAAGGUCAUUGAACUUUUAGCCCCUCUGAAUUUUUUUUUUUUUUUUAACCCACAAGUGGCUUCAGAAUCUGUAAGUCACCUCAGACUGGUUAAAACAGGUCUUCGAAGAGUCUUAAGAAUUUAGUGUUCCAUUUUUUUUUUUCAAAGCCAUUUAAUCAAGGGAAUUCUGAUUUCUCUGACGACCUAAGAAUUUAAUUGUAUAGUCAUUCGGUUUUUCUAAUUGUUUUGCUGUGCAGAAACACGACUAAGUAAUUAAAGGAAUAACUUUAAUUUUUGGAGCAUUUUACUUUUCUUGAGCAUUUUUUUUAACUUGUAUAAAAAGAGUCACAGUGUAGGCCAAGAUGAACUGGAUUUAUGUUUUGGCUUGUGCGAUUGCAUAUCCUUUUUCUGCCGAACAUUUGGAGAUGCUCCUGCAGUUAUCAUCACCUUUAAAGGGUUACUGGGAGCACUACAUUCGUGCCUUUGGUGAGUCACUGGAAGGAUAGGUAAUUCAUCCUGAUGAGGUUUGACACACUUUGCAGUUCUGCGUCCACUGAAGCCACAGAAUUAUGAGUUGGCUGCGUUUUGUAAAUCACAGAAAAUCCGUCUGCUGCAGGUGGCUCUGCAAAAAGAACCCGUGUGAUGGAGGGUGCUGAUGAUGGGGCCAUGAGGGUACUGAUGCUGGGGUCUCGAGGGUGCUGAUGCUGGGGCCUCCAGGGUACUGAUGCUGGGGCCUCGUCUUCCAGGGCGUCGGCAUUUCCUGGUUUGGUUUUAUUUUCCUGGUAUGUUGAACAGAGGCAUGCGUUUAGCAAACCGUGAUGGACUCAUCUUGUUUGCUUGUAUAGAGCUGAUAACUAUCAACUUGCCUCGGUAGUGGUGGCUCCUUCACUGUCUGCGACUGCUGCCCGGUAGUGCCUCUCUGAUGGUAGAAGCCUACUCAUAGAACAGCGAAGCUGACAUUCUUUUUUUGACAGGGAUCCAUCGGGAGUCACCGGUUACUGCUUGUCAGUGGGAAGCCAUGAUACUGGCAGACUAUAAAUGCUUCUUUCUUAUCACCCCCAAGGGAUAGCGUCCCUCAUUACACUUGUAAGGCUGCAAGCAAUUAAAAGAUGGAACCGAGGAAAUGAAAAGGUAUAUACAGGAUCACAAAACUAAACUGGAAAAUUCAAGAUUUAAGAUUAAAUAGGAGAAAAAUAGGAUCAAUGGGCUACUGGUUUGAAGGAAGGUGAAGUUACUUUUACGGCUAAGGUUUUUAAGUUUUUAGUUUACUGUUUAUGACACGCCAAUUUUCUAUAUCUCUGUGUUAAAGAUUAUCUGUCAGUCAUCCUGCAUAUAGACGUGAAGAAGGUGCUUAAUAAAAUAUUAUGCGUUAUUUUUGCAGAGGUGUUGUCGUGGGAUUUACAGGGCAUCUUUGACUAAUACAUUUCUUUUCUAAUCUCUGCCUUUUAUGUCAAGAUGGACCUGCACAAACAUACUUUAAAUAUCAAGCUCAUGUUUACUUGACUGUAUAUAUUUUAUUGCCUUCUCCCACACUGGGUACAGAAGUAUGCAGGGUGAAUAAAGCAUGCACAUAAUUAUAAAAUAGGAGUGUUGCGUACCAAAAAAGAAAGUACAGAUUAGGC
rnacentral:lncRNA from 1 species